GUCUACGGCUGUGCCACCCUGAACAAGCCCAAUCCCAUCUGAUUUUGGAAGCUAAACAGGGUUGGGCCUGGUUAGUACCUGGAUGGGAGAUCACCUAGGAAGACGAGGUGCUGCAGGUG
rnacentral:rRNA from 1 species